rnacentral:rRNA from 1 species
GCGAGUUGAACGCUGGCGGCGUGCUUAACACAUGCAAGUCGAACGAUGAACCCAGCUUGUGGGGGGAUUAGUGGCGAACGGGUGAGUAACACGUGAGUAACCUGCCCUUGACUCUGGGAUAAGCCUGGGAAACCGGGUCUAAUACUGGAUAUGACCUUCUGGCGCAUGCCAUGUUGGUGGAAAGCUUUAUUGCGGUUUUGGAUGGACUCGCGGCCUAUCAGCUUGUUGGUGGGGUAAUGGCCUACCAAGGCGACGACGGGUAGCCGGCCUGAGAGGGUGGACGGCCACACUGGGACUGAGACACGGCCCAGACUCCUACGGGAGGCAGCAGUGGGGAAUAUUGCACAAUGGGCGCAAGCCUGAUGCAGCGACGCCGCGUGGGGGAUGAAGGCCUUCGGGUUGUAAACCUCUUUCAGUAGGGAAGAAGCGAAAGUGACGGUACCUGCAGAAGAAGCGCCGGCUAACUACGUGCCAGCAGCCGCGGUAAUACGUAGGGCGCAAGCGUUAUCCGGAAUUAUUGGGCGUAAAGAGCUCGUAGGCGGUUUGUCGCGUCUGCCGUGAAAGUCCGGGGCUUAACUCCGGAUCUGCGGUGGGUACGGGCAGACUAGAGUGAUGUAGGGGAGACUGGAAUUCCUGGUGUAGCGGUGAAAUGCGCAGAUAUCAGGAGGAACACCGAUGGCGAAGGCAGGUCUCUGGGCAUUAACUGACGCUGAGGAGCGAAAGCAUGGGGAGCGAACAGGAUUAGAUACCCUGGUAGUCCAUGCCGUAAACGUUGGGCACUAGGUGUGGGGGACAUUCCACGUUUUCCGCGCCGUA